rnacentral:lncRNA from 10 species
AGGAGGGGAGUGACAGAGUCCAAGACGACUUCACAGGGCGCCUCUGCUUUGCCGGAAGGCAGAUCUGGCAGGAGGGCUUCCAUCUACAGAAGUCCCUCUGCCCCAGGGCUUGACAGUCAGUCCUCAGGGACUGCCUGACAGUCUCUGUCCUAGAAACUGUGGCCACAUCCCAACCCUGAGGCCCUGGCCCCCCACCAGGACCCAGGUUUGCUCAAAACCCAGGGGGCUGCGCUGAGUCUAAGGGAAGGCCUGUGCGAGCUUUGAUGCCUCUUCCCCAUCAGGGCAGAAGCCCACUGGGUCCUGUCCUUCUGUCCAGUGCGCCAACUCAGCUGUAAGCAGAGUGGGUGCCCCAUACCCCCUCCAAUUCCCAGGCCAACGUGAUUCUCGGCCUCAGGGUGUUUACAGUUGGUUGGAGCUGAGGGUAAAACCAAGGAAACAAUUAGAAGAGAGGGACAGAUGUAGAAUCAAAGCACUAAGUUGACCAUCAGUGAGGGCCAUCAGGUUCAAUACCAGACACCAACCUACCUUAGUAGCCCCCUGGAGUGGGCCAAGGCCUUCCUGUGGGUCAAUGUGUUUCUUUUUCCCCCAGACCAUGACUUAGGUAUCACUGCUCCAUUGUAUAGAUGAGGACACUGAGGCCCAUGAGCUCACUUGCUGGGGUUACCAGCUGGUGGGUGGUGCACUUAGGAAGGAGCCCAGGCCCAUCUGAUUCUCAGGCCAUCUGACUCCCAGCACCACCCCACUGUGGGUCUGGGAAAACCAUGGGUGACUUUGUGUAGGAGUCAGCAUUUCAACUGGAGGGGAUAGCAGAGUACAGAGGCCAGCAGAGGCCGGGAUGGGAGCUGUUACACUCUAGACAGAGGAACCUGCCUGCCUGUCCUACACCCUAGUUUUCUAUCCCGGCACUUGCUGACCUAAAUUAGCUGUCCACAGUCUGAUCCUUCCUCCUCCCUUCCAGCAGACUGGGUGAGUCUCCACCGUGUUGUGGAAUGUGGAGCGGAGACAUUUGCUAAGAGGGACAAAGGAGGGUGCGCGGCGC